UACGUAGGGUGCGAGCGUUGUCCGGAAUUAUUGGGCGUAAAGAGCUUGUAGGUGGUUUGUCGCGUCUGCUGUGAAAAUCCGAGGCUCAACCUCGGACUUGCAGUGGGUACGGGCAGACUAGAGUGUGGUAGGGGAGACUGGAAUUCCUGGUGUAGCGGUGGAAUGCGCAGAUAUCAGGAGGAACACCGAUGGCGAAGGCAGAUCUCUGGGCCGUAACUG
rnacentral:rRNA from 1 species